GACCUGGUGGUGGAAUGGUUACCGCACCUGCUUUGAUUGUGCACGUUCGAUGCUUCAGCAGGGGACCCCCGUUCGAUUCGGGGUCGGGUCA